GCGGAUGAACUGUGGGUAGCGGAGAAAUUCCAAUCGAACCCGGAGAUAGCUGGUUCUCCCCGAAAUAGUUUUAGGACUAGCCUCAAGUUAGAUACCUGGAGGUAAAGCACUGAAUAGCCUAGCGGCCGAGAGGUUAGCGAAGCUUAUCAAACUCAGAAUGCCAGAGUAUUGAUGCUUGGGAGUCAGACAGUGUCAGAUAAAUGUCAUUGUCAAAAGGGAAACAGCCCAGAUCUACAGCUAAGGUCCCAAAGUCAGGUUAAGUGGAAAACGAUGUGAAGAUACGCAGACAACCAGGAUGUUGGCUCAGAAGCAGCCACUCAUUCAAAGAGUGCGUAAUAGCUCACUGGUCGAGCGUCUUUGCGCGGAGAAUUUAACGGGGCUAAACCUGACACCGAAGCUUAGGCAAUACAGUAAUGUAUUGGGUAGGGGAGCGUUGUAUACGCGGUGAAACAGUAGCGCAAGCGGCUGUGGAGUGUAUAGAAGUGAGAAUGCCGGAAUGAGUAGCGCGAAUGCAGUGAGAAUCUGCAUGGCCGAAAGCCUCAGGUUUUUGGAGGAAGGUUCGUCCGCUCCAAGUUAGUCGGGAGCUAAGGUGAGGCCGGAAGGCGUAGCCGAUGCACAGACGGUAGAGAUUCCGUCACCACCAAAAGAGUUAAGCACAGGGACACAUUUGAAGUCUCAGAGCCGGGUGUUGGUUCCGGUAGAGAUCGAGGGAAAUUAGUACCGAAGUCUGGGAUGGAGGAUGGCGAGAAAAGCUGUGUGUAUUUCUGAGGUGCCCGUACCGCAAACCGACACAGGUAGGUAGGAAGAAGAUUCUAAGGCCAACGGGAGAAGGGUUGUUAAGGAACUCGGCAAAUUGACCCCGUAACUUCGGGAGAAGGGGUGCUCCAGAGAUGGAGCCGCAGAGAAUCGGCCCAAGCAACUGUUUACCAAAAACACAGGUUUGUGCUAAAUCGAAAGAUGACGUAUACGAGCUGACGCCUGCCCGGUGCUGGAAGGUUAAGAGGAGAUGUGCAAGCAUUGAAUCGAAGCCCCAGUGAACGGCGGCCGUAACUAUAACGGUCCUAAGGUAGCGAAAUUCCUUGUCAGGUAAGUUCUGACCCGCACGAAAGGCGUAAUGAUUUGGGCACUGUCUCAACAGCCCGCCCGGCGAAAUUGUAGUACCGGUGAAGAUGCCGGUUACCCGCGACAAGACGGAAAGACCCCAUGGAGCUUUACUGUAGCCUAAUAUUGGGUUUCGAUGUUGCAUGCACAGGAUAGAUGGGACACUAGGAAACAAUCGCUUUGGCGGUUGCGGAGUGGCCGUUGGGAUACCAUCCUUGCGAUAUUGGAAUUCUAACCUGCGGCUCUGAAUCGAGUCGGGGGACAUUGUUAGGUGGGCAGUUUGACUGGGGCGGUCGCCUCCUAAAAAGUAACGGAGGCGUUCAAAGGUUCGCUCAGCUUGAACGGAAAUCAAGCAAAAGAGUGCAAACGCAGAAGCGAGCCUAACUGCGAGACUGACGGGUCGAGCAGUAACGAAAGUUGGAGUUAGUGAUCCGGUGGUAUGUGAGUGGAAAUGCCAUCGCUCAACGGAUAAAAGUUACCCUGGGGAUAACAGGCUGAUCUCCCCCAAGAGUCCACAUCGACGGGGAGGUU
rnacentral:rRNA from 1 species